GGGCCUGUGGCUCAAAGGAGUAGGGCAUUGGCCCCAUAUGCCAGAGGUAGCUGGUUCAAACCCAGCCCUGACCA
rfam:Otolemur garnettii contig179173, whole genome shotgun sequence.